CGCAGUGAUGGUGUAAUUUGCGUCCGACCCCGUUGACCGGCGACAGUAUGCCUGCUGUCACACGCCGUCACUGGAGGCUGACGAACACUGAGUCUGAGCG